GAUGAACGCUGGCGGCGUGCCUAAUACAUGCAAGUAGAACGCUGAAGGAGGAGCUUGCUCUUCUGGAUGAGUUGCGAACGGGUGAGUAACGCGUAGGUAACCUGCCUUGUAGCGGGGGAUAACUAUUGGAAACGAUAGCUAAUACCGCAUGACAACAGCUAUUGCAUGAUAACUGUUUAAAAGGUGCAACUGCUCCACUACCAGAUGGACCUUCGUUGUAUUAGCUAGUUGGUGAGGUAACGGCUCACCAAGGCGACGAUACAUAGUCGACCGGAGAGGGUGAUCGGCCACACUGGGACUGAGACACGGCACAGACUCCUACGGGAGGCAGCAGUAGGGAAACGUCGGCAAGGGACGGAAGUCUGAGCGAGCAGCGCCGAAUGAGUGUAGAAGGUUGUCGGGUCGUGAAGCUCGGUUGUAAGGGAAGAACGAGUGUGAGAGUGGAAAGUUCACUCUGUGACGGUAACUUACCAGAAAGGAACGGCUAACUACGUG
rnacentral:rRNA from 1 species